rnacentral:tRNA from 1 species
AGGCCAGUAGCUCCAACGGUUAGAGCGCCGGUCUCCAAAACCGGNNUCGAAUCCCUCCUGGCCUGCCA